rnacentral:rRNA from 1 species
CUGGACCUUGCAGCGAAUAGCAUGCCUGGAAAUCUUAGCCAAUGGAUAAUGAAGCAUUAUGAUCCUGGUAUUUUACAGAUAGUUAUUCCAGAAAGGGGGGAGAUUCGAGUAGAUGCCGCAAGCGUUCGUAGGAUAUGGGGUUUUCCAAAUAGGGGGAGAAAGGUGUGCUUUGAUAAUCGGCCAGACAUCACAAAGGCAAUGUACAACAUUUACAAUAUCACCUCCAAGAAUUCACCAACUCUCACAUCGUGGUGCAAGAUGAUUAAAGACAUGAAUGGAUCUCAUGAUGAUGACUUCCUCGGCGCUUGGCUAGCUCUUGUUUUUUCCUCCUUCCUUGCCCCAUGA